CAAACAGCUGAUAAAAACAGCACAAGUAAUCCACACGACUCCAGUCCAUCCAAUAAUGUCUUGUGAAGCAAAAAGCUGCGUGUUUCUAAGAAGCUAAUUAAUUAUUGUGAUGUUUUAACAGUUGUUUGAACUCUCAAUCUGAUGGCACCAAUUCACUGCAGAUGAUCCAUUGAUGAGCAAGUGAUAUACUGCUGAAAUUCUCCAAAUCUGAUGAUGAAACAAGCUCAUCUACAUUUCGAAUGGCUUGAGAUACAGAUCGGUGCUGAUAGGGACGGAAAGAGGCGGGAAACCGGAUCCUUAUUCUGUCUGUCAUUCUGACCUCACUAGACCUGGCUCUUCUCCUGGCAGUGCUCCUCCGGGGCCUGGGGUCACGGUACGGAGAGGACGACGACCAUUCUUACAGUUCUCCUAGGAAAACCAGGGAUCAAAGAUGCUGCCAGGGGCAUUAGCACAGUGGCAUUGUGGUUGCUCUGCCAGCUCCCAUCAGCGCAUACCUGGCAUCGGACGCUCACCUUGACCCCCCGAUGAGAAAAGAGCGGGCUCUGGCUGUUCUCCCAGAUUCUGCUUCCUCCUGCUCCGAUCAUGCCCAUGUAUGGACCAGACGCAUGUGCGGCAGUCAAAUACAAAUUGUGACAAUCACCAAGCAGGUCUAUUACAGUCAGAUUUACCACCGCUGGGAAGCACAGCAGGUAACACAGAGCUACAGUUGUUAUGCCAACUGUGCUCCAAAUACCUAAUUGCAGAAACACCAUCAAUUGGCUUCUGCUGCACAGGCGGAAAUGUGGUGUUUAAAGACCAGCGGAUCUGGAAAAUGAGAGAACUGGGAACUAGGAGUGGGGGGGGGAAACAAAACACUUCAGCUAGCAAAGUUUGGGGUGAGUAGGAUUUAUGUUUGAUAGAAGUUGAUACUUUUAUUCAACAAGGAUGGAUUAAAUUGACAGUAAAUAAUAUAGAAAAAAAAUCUGUUUUAAGUUUCAUAUCAGAUAUUAUGGUUUCCACAGAAUGAUUAACCAGCACAACUGUUACAGUAUAAUGAGUGUUCCCUGAGC